CAGCAGCCGCGGUAAUACGAAGGGUGCGAGCGUUAAUCGGAUUUACUGGGCGUAAAGCGUGCGUAGGCGGCUUUUUAAGUCGGAUGUGAAAUCCCUGAGCUUAACUUAGGAAUUGCAUUCGAUACUGGGAAGCUAGAGUAUGGGAGAGGAUGGUAGAAUUCCAGGUGUAGCGGUGAAAUGCGUAGAGAUCUGGAGGAAUACCGAUGGCGAAGGCAGCCAUCUGGCCUAAUACUGACGCUGAGGUACGAAAGCAUGGGGAGCAAACAGGAUUAGAUACCCGCGUAGUCCCUGUCUCUUAUAC
rnacentral:rRNA from 1 species